GUGUGUGUGUAUGUGUGUAUGUGUGUAUGUGUGUGUGUGUGUGUGUGUGUACUUCAGAGCAGAUACAGGCUGAUCCUCACUUCCCUCUGUGUUGUUUAUGGACGACUGCAAAUCGAGACAAAAGUUUGGGACAUUUUACUGUUUGGUUACUACAGUGAUUCACAGUCACAUCUGUUUUCCACCUGAUCCACUACAUUCGUUACUGCCAUCGUCAAACAGUCACCUGAGCUGUUUUAAUGAAGUUUUCAAAAGAGUUUUUUAAGUGAAAGAAAAUAAUAAUAAUAAAAAAGAAAAUAGAAAAUUCAAAAUCUAAUGAAACGUCCUUUAUGGCAGGUUGAUCAAUAAUCAUGUACCAGUUUUUCUUGCAGCGCAGGCACAGACGAUGUUGUGUGUUCUGUAGUGAUGAUGGUCGGCACGGUGUCUCCCUGGCUGAGGCUGGUGGGAGAGGGCUGAUCCUCAGUGAUGCUGAGUCUGAUUACAGGAGCUUCGCUGCAGACGCACAAAGACCAGUGUGGAGUGGUGAUCUGAGGCUCCUUCUCAGUGGGACGUGGGGUGCUGUUGGCCACGAGGUCGGGGGUCGUGGAGACGGAGGAGCUAAAGGUGGAGAAGGAGCUGUAGCGAGGGAGGAUGCUCAUCAUCAGGUGACCCCACGUGGCAAAAUUCAUGUUCAUCUGGGCUGCUCUGAGGAAGUUCUUCCCUGGAAGGGAAAAAAAGAGAAGGUGAAGAAUUUAAAUACUGUAUAAUGUUUCAGUGCGCUUCAAUCAACAGGUGAAACCUGCUGAUCCUGCUGGUUGUUCAUCUGUACCUCUUUCUUUAGUGAAAAUACAGCGCUGGCGUCUCAGUUUCGGCUGCCGCUCAACAACAGCAUCAAUGAAUCGAAGCUGGAAAAAACAGAAAAGGAGUUUUGUUUUUUUUUCUUUAUGUACAUUCGCUUGUGUGUAAACUUUAAGUUAAAAGUUUAAAAGUUAUUUCUCAUUCCAAACACCUGAGCAGACCUUAGAGGGCCUUUGUUGCCACACACCGGGCAGGUCACUGAGCGUACCUUGGCGUAGAGGAGGCCCUGUGGCUCCAGACUUAGCCCCUGGUUGUGGUUUGGGUUUUCCAUCAUCUCCUCCAGUCGUAAGAACUUGACUGCACACAUCGCCCUCCGGUCCCGUCCGAAGACACCGACCUCCAGCUCUCGAGACUAUUGAAGGGUCGACAGCAGACGGCACAAUCACGCCAUCAGUGACCACAAGCAGCAAUGGACAAACGUCUGAGGGAGACACCUGCUGGCCUCACGCAGAACUACAAAAAUACUACACCAGUGCAGUACAUCCACAGAGGCUACAACACAUCACUGGGUGGAACAACACGCUGAACAACAGCUCCCUCUGCUGUCCACUGCUGCAGCCAUGAAACCACGGUGUGGGAGACAGGCCUCGUCUUUGAACAUAACUCUUCAUAGGUCGAGUGUGUGCGUGUUUCCAGUGGACUCUGUGCUGCACGGUGACCUUGUAUAGUCUGUCAUGUCCUGUGGUUGCUGUACUAUGUGUGUCAGCCUGAAAGCUGCUGAUGCUGUUUGUAUCUGCACCCAUGUCACAGAGGUGGAGUCCUGUACAUUCAUCAUACAAGGAGACUUUGAUCGUGUUUUCUUUUACCUGUCAGAAGCGGGAAGAGGACAGCUUUUCGAUGGCGUGUCGUCUCUGUAAUUCAGCUUAUUUCAGGGUGAAACAGGAUGUUCGGGGACGGAGGUAAAUACACAGGAAGGACUGCUCGAACGUGGGCAGUGUGGAUCAGAAUGCACAUGAAAAAUGACUCACAAAUACUGGAAGCUGGCCUGCAGCAAAGCGGGUUUAAUGAUGGGAAAUUUGUGGUGGAGCUAUUGUUUUUUAAGCUUUGCCUAAGCUUUCUACAUGACAAACUUGCCACUGUAAUUGACAUGAGCAAAACCUACUGACUGCAGUUAUAUGGCAUUUGUUGUUCAGUGUGUGUCAGUCAGUUAGCCAACAAUUAAAAGAUCAAAGUUUCAAACAGUAUCCCAGAUCUUAUUAGACAUCUGGAGUAAAUCCAGUUUUACAUCUUGUGUUUCAUUAAUUGCUCCUCUCACUUGUAUGUGAUUGACUUGUAAUUAAGAACUCUGUCUGUCACGUGA